GUGCCAGCCGCCGCGGUAAGACGUAGGAGGCGAACGUUAUCCGGAUUUACUGGGUGUAAAGCGCGUGCAGGCGGCGCGACAAGUCGUGCGUGAAAGCGCCGGGCUUAACCCGGCGAGGCCGUGCGAUACUAUCGAGCUGGAGGCAGGCAGAGGCGUGUGGAAUUCCGGGUGUAGUGGUGAAAUGCGUAGAGAUCCGGAGGAACACCAGUGGCGAAGGCGACACGCUGGGCCUGACCUGACGCUAAGACGCGACAGCAUGGGGAGCGAACGGGAUUAGAUACCCCGGUAGUCC
rnacentral:rRNA from 1 species